GUGGAUGUAGCUUAGCUGGUUAAAGCGCCAGAUUGUGGCUCUGGAGAUCGUGGGUUCGAAUCCCAUCUUCCACCCCA
rnacentral:tRNA from 1 species